rnacentral:rRNA from 1 species
UGGACGAAAGUCUGACCGAGCAACGCCGCGUGAGUGAAGAAGGUUUUCGGAUCGUAAAGCUCUGUUGUAAGUCAAGAACGUGUGUGAGAGUGGAAAGUUCACACAGUGACGGUAGCUUACCAGAAAGGGACGGCUAACUACGUGCCAGCAGCCGCGGUAAUACGUAGGUCCCGAGCGUUGUCCGGAUUUAUUGGGCGUAAAGGGAGCGCAGGCGGUCAGGAAAGUCUGGAGUAAAAGGCUAUGGCUCAACCAUAGUGUGCUCUGGAAACUGUUUGACUUGAGUGCAGAAGGGGAGAGUGGAAUUCCAUGUGUAGCGGUGAAAUGCGUAGAUAUAUGGAGGAACACCAGUGGCGAGAGCGGCUCUCUGGUCUGUCACUGACGCUGAGGCUCGAAAGCGUGGGUAGCGAACAGGAUUAGAUACCCUGGUAGUCCACGCCGUAAACGAUGAGUGCUAGGUGUUAGGCCCUUUCCGGGGCUUAGUGCCGGAGCUAACGCAAUAAGCACUCCGCCUGGGGAGUACGACCGCAAGGUUGAAACUCAAAGGAAUUGACGGGGGCCCGCACAAACGGUGGAGCAUGUGGUUUAAUUCGAAGCAACGCGAAGAACCUUACCAGGUCUUGACAUCCCGAUGCUAUUCUUAGAGAUAGGAAGUUACUUCGGUACAUCGGAGACAGGUGGUGCAUGGGUUGUCGUCAGCUCGUGUCGUGAGAUGUUGGGGUUAAGUUCC